AUACCACCUCUUCGAUAACCGAAAAGCCAAAAGAUGGUAACAACACUGGCUCUACCAACACUUUGUCUGCCGGGGCCAUCGCCGCCAUAGCCACAGCCGGCAUCAUCAGCAUCAUCAUCGCCAUCAUCUUCAUCGCUGGGGUGAUCUCUGGAGGUUUUGAUGGAAGGUGUCCCUUCCUCUUAUCUUUUUCACGCCUUCCCUGUCGUCGACGUUUUGAAGGUGUUAGGCAGAACGACCCAGAUGCUCCGGUGGCUCAC